AAGACUAUACUUUCAGGGAUCAUUUCUAUAGUUUCUAACUAGGAAAUGUGAUUUGAAGGUGUUGUGUCUCCCUAAUCGCAAUGAUGAGGUUUGAUGUGCUCUUCUGAACAUGAAUCAGUUUGAUGCUGUUGUUUCUUUAAUGAGCUUUAAUCCUUGAUGAAUGUUCUUCCCUUUUUCAGAAGUGUAAGAGAAUGAGUACAUGAUCAGAGUGAC